UACGUAGGGGGCAAGCGUUAUCCGGAUUUACUGGGCGUAAAGAGCGUGUAGGUGGUUGCGUAAGUUGGUUGUGAAAUCUCCCGGCUCAACCGGGAAACUGCAAUCGAUACUGCGCGGCUAGAGUGGCAGAGAGGAAAGUGGAAUUCCCGGUGUAGUAGUGAAAUGCGUAGAUAUCGGGAGGAACACCAGCGGCGAAGGCGACUUUCUGGCUGCCAACUGACACUGAGACGCGAAAGCUAGGGGAGCGAACGGG
rnacentral:rRNA from 1 species